UACGGGGGGGUAAGCGUUGUUCGGAAUUACUGGGCGUAAAGGGCUCGUAGGCGGCCAACUAAGUCGGACGUGAAAUCCCUCAGCUUAACUGGGGAACUGCGUCCGAUACUGGAUGGCUUGGAUUUGGGAGAGGGAUGCGGAAUUCCAGGUGUAGCGGUGAAAUGCGUAGAUAAUCUGGAGGAACACCGGUGGCGAAGGCGGCAUCCUGGACCAACAUUGACGCUGAGGAGCGAAAGCUAGGGGAGCAAACGGG
rnacentral:rRNA from 1 species